UACGUAGGGGGCAAGCGUUGUCCGGAUUUAUUGGGCGUAAAGAGCGUGUAGGCGGCUUGGUAGGUCCGCUGUGAAAACUCGAGGCUCAACCUCGAGAUGUCGGCGGAAACCACUUGGCUAGAGUCCGGAAGAGGAGAGUGGAAUUCCAGGUGUAGCGGUGAAAUGCGUAGAUAUCUGGAGGAACACCGGUGGCGAAGGCGGCGUUCUGGACUGCAACUGACACUGAAAAACGAAAGCCAGGGGAGCAAACGGG
rnacentral:rRNA from 1 species